CUGGUGUCCUGGCAGUGGACGCCCGGGGUGAGUGAGAGGCCGUGGCGCGGGGAGCCAGGGUGGAAAGCUGUUUGUCCCAUCCUGACUCCUCCUCGCUCGCUGAUUCGCCCGUUCAGGAAUUGGAAAUGGGCACCUAGAGAGGUGCAUCUGGGGACGUUUGUGGUGGCUCUGAGACCCUUGCCACCUGCUUCUCCUCCCACUCAUGGCCAAGCUGGUGAUUCUCGCCACCCCGGCCCCAUUGACGCUGCCUUGAGAGUUGCUCCAGAGUAGGGCUCCAGAGCUUGGAGCAGCAUGGGCACCGAGAAGGAAGAGCCCGACUGUCAAAAACAGUUCCAGGCAGCAGUCAGCGUCAUUCAGAACCUGCCUAAGAAUGGGAUGCCUGGAACAGCCUGGGGAAGAUGAGCAGGGAGGAAGCCAUGUCCGCCUACAUCACGGAGAUGAAGCUGGUGGCACAGAAGGUGAUCGACACAGUGCCCCUGGGCGAGGUGGCAGAGGAUAUGUUUGGUUAUUUCGAGCC
rnacentral:lncRNA from 1 species